GACGACAUCAUAAUCCUGAAGCUCUGCUGGAAUUCUAGCUUCCGAGGUUUGGCUGAGGAAUGCCGUUGGUGAGGCUCAUGCCUUCCCAUACGCACACACAAUGAAGAGAUUCACUCCAGUUCCAUAUAAAUACACCAUGUUCCAGUAGUUGGCUUACUAACUCAUUGCCCUGAACUUGACCUUUUCCUAGAGAAGGAGUGUCGGAAAUGUGGUUAGCUUCUGAGGCAAAUCCAUAAAAGCCAACCUAACACAUAUUGAACACAGAGUAGCUUUCCAAACCCAUGGAGUAUGGAUCCGCUUUCCCUGUGUCAAUAUUGUUUCCAUGGAAAAAUCCUUACGCAUUCCAAGUGGGGUGUUCUCUCUCCAUAUGGGGAAGCCCAAGCACAUCCCACUCUAGCAAGAGAAACAGAUAAGCACACCCCACUCUAGCAAGAGAAACAGAGGUAGCUCCCUGCCUUACGUCCUGUUUUUUCCCAUUCUGACGGGGAGGAACGUCUUUAGCAUACAGUGGCACUACAGCUAAUGUGGAUUGAGUCAGUCACUCAAGAAUUCAGGGCUAUGCCAAGGUUGAAGAUCAGAAACGGUCUUCCUAGAAGGUGGCUGAAGGGUUACAGACUGUCAUCAGAAAAUCCUUACAAACCAGAUUUAGCUGGUGUCUCAAUCACCACUGUCACUUAUACCAUGUGCCCCACUUCUCAGGGACUCAUAUUUCCUGUCACCACCUCUUGUGGCUUCUGAACAGCACCUCCAGCUUUCUCUUCUGCCUCUUCCUUACAGGAGUCCUCCUCUCUCUGGAACAAAGGUGCUGCCAUAUUCCUGGCGAUAGCCGUGGUGGAAUCAGAUGGAGAAUAAACCAUUUUCCUGGAAACAAUUCUACUUUGACUAAAUGAGAAACAAAACAUAAUUUUUCAUAUUAUUUCAACAGAAUAUUGCGUGCAAAAACUUCUAGUCAUUUUUAAUAGGCUUAGUGGAGUUAGCAAUUCUCUAAGUAAAACUUACAAAAGGACAUCUCUUUGAGGCAGAGAUUGGAGGCUCUGAAGAAAGGGCACUGGUGGGUAAGGGUUGAAAUUGGAAUCAUUACUGGCCCGUUUCUUUCUCCACUGUACCAGGUGAUCUGGAGCAAGUUCAAGGGCAUUGACAUAGGGUGGAAAACAAAGAGGGUCAAACUUUUAGGGGCAGCAAACGGAGGGGCAAGGAACACACAAAGGAGAAAAACCCAAAGCCAUAGCUGUGCAAUAGAAGCCAAUUUACUUGAGGUGCUACUACAAAUGUUCAUUUUUAAGAAUGCCAUUUUCUGCACCUAGCAUCAGACCGAGGAUAUGAGACUUGUUUAUGGAAUCCUCAAGAAAAGAGUGGAAGAAGCUGUUUAUUGAAAUCUCUUGUCUCACACUUGGCACCAGGACAUGCCAGGUUUAAAACAAUGUUUGCCUGAAGGCACAUGCACAUUUCCAACUUAAAAGAUUUUGGAACUAAAAUAGAGUGUAGAUACUUAGCGAAUAUUCUCCUAAAAAGCAAUUUACCUCUAGAAGCUACUGGGUUUUAGACAUAAUGAGUGAGUGUGGAAAACUGUGACAUGAGAAAAUUAAUAAAAAAGACUUUAUGUGUCUAGAUUUAAAUAAAAACUAUGAAUAUGGCUUCCAGAAUUUGCUAAGUCAAAUUAAUUUACAAACACCUAAAAUAGUUAAGAAAUAGAAUUAAUAAUACACCAAACACACACACACACACACGCACCAAGAGAUACAUACACACACACAUUCUUACAAAUUGUAGAAUAAUUGUUGGUAACAUCUAAAUGAAAACACGUAAGUGAAUUCACAUUUUCUUUGUUAGACUAUUGGUUUAUAUGAAUCAGUUUAGAUGAGAAUCUAAACUUUCGAGAAUACAUUCUAACUUCCAACCUAAAGAAACACUUUCCGCCCCACCAUCAAACUCAUCUGGUAGUAAGAACAAACUAGUGGUACAAAACAUUUCUCUCUAAAGAUUUCCAAUUUUUUAAAUAAUUUGAAAAUAGAAAUACAAUCUUAAUUCAUCGGAGGAAAGCACUGAUAUAAAGUGUAUCUGAUAAGUGGAAAAGGAAAUACGUAAAAUUUAACAUAUGAUAUGAACACAUAGUAAUGGCAAGACCAACACAACCUCUCCCUCAUGAUCAGAUUUCAGUUUUAGCUUCACUAGGUGGGGGUGUCUCCUCCGCUGAGUAAAAACCUUACGCCCCCAUUAAUGCAGGUCCUGACUCAAGGCAGCAGCGUCUCCUCACCCAGUGGAGGGUGGAGGAGCUGGCAGGCAAUGUGCAUGUGACAAAAGUGCCAAAGGCCGACCACGUGUGUGAAAAAAGGUGCUUUAGCUCCCGGGAUCAGCAAUUUCCUCCCCCCUAUUCUGGUAAGACAGGAAUGUGUCACGACACACUCUCAACUCCAACCUUCAAUUCAUUGAAAUGUGUUUAAGCAAAUCAAACCUGUCAUCCAGAAAUAGAGCAUUUGUCUACACCUGGAAAGAUCUGGAUUUCUUUAGUUUUUAUUUGUUUGUUUCCCAUAACUUUCAAGCAACCGUACUUGCCUCCUUCGAACUUGGCAUAGUUCAGUAAUACAAAUUCCUAGCCCAGUUUGGAAGGAGAUUGUUCUUUUGUCGCUGUUCAAGGUUAUCCACCCGAGCUGAUUUCAUGCUUGGCUGCAUCUGGAGGCUCACGUGUCUGCUUCUUAAAGUAACGCUCUCCUCUACCAGGAUUCUGAAACCACAGAGUAGCACGCAGGUCUUCAGCGUGACAGACGCCUGCUCCUGCUCAGAUGGCAGUGCGGGACCUCAGGAGGACAGUCGUGUGGGCUCCUCACUCAACAUCUCAUAACCUGCUCAUUUUAACAAAUUGACCCAGAACUAAGGGACCCCAAUAUAAAUUAAAGGAGGCAGUGGAAGGAGAGAAAUUAUUUGUAAUGUUCAAAGAAAGACCUCAAAAUAGAAUAAGGCUUCUUUCUUCCCUUGUUUACUCUCUUGUGGAUGUUGAAGUUUCUAAUCUCUCAGAGUUCUGAUUUAUCUAGUCUAUAUCUCUACCAUCACCUAUGUCCCUAUCUAUCUAUAGCUAUAGAUAGGGUCUGGAUAGGAAAAAAAAAGAUAGGAAGCAUAAAAUUUAACACCCUCUAGAUGCCACCUCAAUAAACCUUAGUCUAAUUAUGGUCAAACCAAUUUGAAAGAUUUAAAAAAAAAAAAAACAGGCACUCAAGGCAAUAAGUUAGACUAAAAGUAGCCCCAAUAAGAUGAAAAUAAGAAAAAAAAUGCAUAUAUUGAUGCUAAUGAUAUAGGUAACAGAAAAAAAGACAUUAUAAAUACUGAAGCUCAUCCUUUGAAAAGUAAUAUAUAACAAUAUAUUAAAGAAUAAAAGAAUAAAUCAGAACUAUCAAAAUAGAAAUAAAUAUGGUAUAAAGUAAGACUAUAAACUUUAUAAUAGCAGAGGUGAUAUUUUAGAGCUGUCUUUCUGGCUCUUAGAAGAGUGCUUGGGACACAUGGGUCACUGUUUUUAUUGUAGUUAUUUUUUAGCUGAAAUAACAGAACAUGGAAACGUUUCAACAUUUUAUUAAAAAUUAUCUUUGCAAAUGUUAUUUACUAUAUAAAUAAGCCAAGGGAAUACAAUUAAUGUGUAUUAAGACUAAUAGAAAUAUAUUCAAGAUUUUUCAAAAACUAGCAAUAAUAACUAAGAAGCAUACAAAUACAAAGCUUUCACUCACAUCUACCAUAAAUAUGUAUAUCAUCUAAAAAUUAACUUGGUACAUAGGGAAAGGUUUUAUAAAAUUGUAUUGUAUAAACAAAAUGUUUUAAAACUGAAACAUAUUCCUAAGUGAAACAUAAAUGUAUAUAAUACAAUAUUAUUUGGAGGAUUAUUUUAACUUUUAUUUCAACUUUGGGCGUGCAUGUGCAGGAUGCGCAAGCUUGUUACAUAGCCAAACGUGUAUCAUAAGGGUUUGUUGUACAAAUUACUUCAUCACCAAAGCAUUAAGCCUAGUAUCUAUUAGUUAUUUUUCCCGAUUAGCAAGAGUGUGACAAAAUGGUUUUAAAGAUAUUAAUGAAAGAAAAUUUGUUAAGAGUUUUAGAAACAAUAAUAAUGAGAGGACUUGCUCUAUUAAACACUAAUGUAUAUUUUAAAGAACUGUAAUGAUUUCAAAGUUGUACUCCCAAAUAGAAAAAAAAGAAACAACUUAAUAAAACAAAAAGUGCAAAUGUAGAUAUUAAUGUACAGAUUUUAGUAUAUGCCAAAAAUGCCAUCAUGAAAAAAUAAAAAAGAUACAUUAUUUUGUAAGUAGCUCUGGAGUAACCUUUUACUAAUACAAUAAAAUUUCUUCUCUUUUACCCUAUGUCCAAAUGUAUUAUACCUAGUUUAUAUGAGCUAGUGUUAAAAACAAAGCCAAUCAAAACAAAAGAAUAGUUAAAUAAAUAAAUCGCCUAUUUCCAUGAUUUGAAAGGAAGCUUUUGUAAACCCUCGUACAAGAGCACAAAUUAUUUUUUUAAACUACACUAAUUUCAUGCAUUUGAAACAUACUUAUGCAAAAACAGGCAAACAAACCUUUUAAGCUCCCCAAAAAAUUAAAAAGCAAACAAUAGUAAUACAUGAAUGAUUAUAUAAAAGAUCUUAACAUCACUAAGAAAAAAAUAUAAGUAGAUAAUUAUAUAAAAUAAAAAUUCCCAUAUGUGAAUUUAUUUGUAAAAGUUAAUCUUGCAAGUGUUGAAAAAUGCAAUUUAAAACUAUGAAAACCAUUCCUCUUAUAAUUUUGGAAACUUAAGAAAAUUUGUGUUAGAUACCAUAAAAUGUACAGUUUAAGAAAAUUAUCGUGGGUCUGCUUUUUUUUUUGAAGGAAAAUAAACAACCUAAGAUUGCUUUCAAUAUGUGAAUAAAGGAAAUAACCUUAAUAUUCAACAAAAUCUGAUUGAGUAAAUUGUGCUAGAUGUAUAAAAUGAAGAAUCAGAAAAUGAAGAAAAAGCAGAAUUCCUUUUUCCAAAGAACACUUGCUGACCUGAUAAAUAUUUGAGAUAUAUAUUUCGUGAAAAUAUAAAAACAGACCCAUGCAAAUAAACAGAAAAACUUCACUUUCAUAUUUCUCCAUGUCUAUUUAACAAUGUCUAUGUGUGUCAUCACUGAAUGACAGCAAACAGAUCAGGAAAGAUCUUAUCAUCCAUGAAUGUCGGGAUCUGUACGCCUUUUGAGGUAGGAUUAUUUUUUUCCUUCUAUGCAUAUAGUUUUGAAGUUUUAUAGAACUUUUAAGUUGCUUUACAAUUUAAAAACAAAAAAAUUAAAAUUAAACAUCAUUAAAAAGUAAUUUCACUACAUCUAUAAGUUUGAAGUAUUAUAAAAUUAUGUUGUUUUGUAGUUGCCAAAAAUAUUCAUUAAAACAAUUAACUUUUAUCAAGUAAUGGGCCAAUCUGAUUCUCUUCGUUUGCAUUAUUACAUAUGUGUUGCUUUGCUUAAGGCUAGUGGUUUAAUAGCAGCUUCCUCUCGGACAUUAAGAUAAAAUAUCCAAAUUAUAAUGCUUUAUGAGGCUUUGACUCACUCACAAUUAGAUCAUCUUAGUUUGCUUUAUUUAAUUUCCUUUGCCAAUGUCUGUUUAUAGAAGUCCGGAAAAGGAAUUCUUCUCAAAAUGAAUCAGAACUGAAACAGCAAGUGUUCCAGAAUGAACACUCUGCACAAUGCAUUCAGACAGGGGAUACUCUUAGAACAACCACUAUUUUUACCUCAAUAGGUCAAGCAAUAUAAAUCACAGCUAUAAAUGACAUACAGCUACGUCUCCCUAAAAAUGAGAUCAUCUCACACAACCAAUAGAAAUUCCGCACAUCUGUAAAUGGAAAAAUUUGACAUAUCAAUAUAGGCUAUUUAUGCUUCUUCAAAAUACUAUGCGUAGUUUCUAUCCUACAUAUGACAAUAGUUGCAUUGUUCCUUGAUUUGAUUAUCUGUCUUACAUGGUCCUAAUAAUUUCUUUUUUUUUUUUUUGUCUUUCUUCUAAGUGAUAAAGAAACUGGGCAAGUCUGAAAUAGGGCAUAAUUUUCUCCCUUGCUCAUUGUAUUUCGAAGUAGCCCUGAUUAAUAAGAUUUAUGGAUGAGGGCUUACUCGGCUGGGCUUUAGGGCUGUUUUAUUUUACUGUAGUCAUUGUAGCCUUCGGUUGUCUCUGUUCUUCUUCAUGAAUUGAACUUUUUACCUCCAAGAAUCCAUACGCUCAUCUGACCUACAGAAAAUGCCAAAUGCUACCUAAUUGUCUCUCUACCUCAGAAACUGUAACAAUUGUUUUUAUUUCAAACUUUACUGAUUUAUUUCAAACUUUACAGACAGAGAAAAAGAACAGGAAAGGAAAGAAACAUUCCAUGUUGAAGUGAACACAUACAUGUCAUUAAUAAUUUAAACUAAACAUAUAAACAAAAAGGUCGAGGUUGUCCGAGAUCUUUAAAUACACUUUUUUUUCAUGUUCUGUGUCUCUCUUAAUUUGAAUGCAAAGAAUAUUCUCUGGCAUUUUGUAAAUCUGUGACUUAAGAUAUUGAUCAUUUUGCCAAAACACAACUUUCUUGUACAUGAUGUGCAAAGAUAUCAAUGAAAAUGAACUCAAGGUACUGAAUUACUUGCAAAGUUUUUAUAGUACAGUGUUUCAAAGUAAAUCCACCGAGGACAAUACCAGUUUCCUGGCUUCUUCUGUUCUCUAUUUGCUCAGGCUUUAUCUUCUGCCAAACACCUACCUUUAGGAAAAUUAAGAACAAACGUGUCUGCUGUUAUAUGUAGUAUCUUUAGUGGAACUAAAACUAGUAUAUGUCAGUAUUGACUUGCUAGUUUGAUAAUAAAAAUCUGACCUGUCAUCUUUGACCCAAAUAUUUGUAAAUAUUAUGCUUCUGCGAUUAUUACCGUGGUGUGCACAGAGCAAAUCCAGAGUGAACAGGACUUAAAGCUGGGAGCCUCCGGUGGAAGUCGUUCCAUGGCCUUAUCAGCAAAGCAACAAUUUUUCCAGCAUUCUAGUUUAUUUGUCUGUUUCCAAUGCAUUUUACGUAAAGGAUGGUUUUGAAUUUGCUGAUUUGCAGCAUCUCCUGGCAUAUGGUGUCCUUUUUAAAUCUAUUUUUAAAACCUUUUAUGGUAACAGAGGGGGAAAAUUUCCCCAUCUCUCUCAAUGUAUACUUAUAAAAAUAAAAUUUAUUCAGAAAAUGUACAGUAUGCUUAAUCCUAAAUUAACGUGGUUGCUGAAACGCUAUUCCUUAACCCCGAGGCAUAUGCGAUUUCUAAAGAAACAAAUUCAGCGUUUAAUUAACUCUGGAAUCCUCCCGUAAAUGGAGCUUAUAUGUGUGUGUAAAGUUCAAGGCAGGAUGAAUUUAGAGAAGAAAACUCCUCAGGGGGGUUGCUGUCCUACAGAAGCCAGCCGGCCCUAUCUGAGGCAGACAGACCUAGCGCAUGGCUGUGUGUACUAAAUUAAGGAGUGCGGAGGUUCAACCAGAGUGCACAGAUUAAAAUUUUCAAUAGACCCAAAAAUGUCUCGAAGGCAUGAAUGAGCCUGUCACUUUUCCUCUGCCUCUCCAGCAAAUGAUGGAUUCACUUUAUACCCACAACACAACACGUGAGAUAUGCCUGGUCUCCUCCGUUAUUCUUCCUUCUCCAGUCAUGCUGAAAUAGAGGUUGUGGUUAAACAAAUCUGCUUUUAUGGAGCAAAGCACUGUGAAACAGAGCUGAUUAGGGCCUGACACAUCAAAUUAGACGGGGGCAGCAACGUGCCUGAUGACUCUAUUGUUUCAGGAGGCGGUGCUGCCUUUGCCAUCCUUCCUGACUACACAAGUAACUUUGUUUAAUUUUAAUUUUGAAGAGAAAGCUUUUGCUACAGUGAAAUAAUUAUUACUAUUAAUUUUUCCACCUGUAUCUUAAAACCUGCUUUACAAAGCUGAUUUUGCCAACCAGGCACUAGACUAGCAAAUCAUUUAACAAAGACGAGAAUUUACUAUUUAUGGGAUGAAGUUUUAAAAUGCCAUUUUGAGAAAAAUAGCAAAGCAAAUGACUGAUAAAGUAAAUAAUAAAAUAUGCAUAAAAUGUCCUGAUUUUUUAAUAAAAUCACUUCUAUAAAUAUAACUAAGACUCUUCUCUAAUAUCUAGCACAGCAAACUUACCUACUUUGCAAAUUAUAAAAAAUCAUGAAUCGUCUUAUAAGGGUGGUGGUUAUUGUAUAAGAAUUAUUAUAUUUCUUAUGUUAUUAUAUAGCUUUUGGAUACAUUUCAUAUAUAUACAUAUGUGUGUGUGUGUGUAUAUACAAAAAAUAUGUAUUUACCCACCAAGAUAAGUCUAGGACAUCUCUCAGUAGUUUAUUUACAGUUUCUGAGCAAAUAACACCCAAAAAGAUGCUUACUUUUAAAUAUAUUAAUAUUGCUAUUUAUGUAAAUACACUAUACUUUCUUCUUCUAACUCCAGAGGGCUUUAAAAGUUCACUUCAUUUGUAUCUGGCAAUCCUAAAUGUAAUACUCUGGUAGUAGCCUUAUUUACCUGAAAUAACAGCUUACCUUAGGGAGGUAUAACGUAAGAAAAAUCAGUUGGGAAAUCAGACAUAAUGGAUUUUUAAGUCACCAAUUAGUUGCAUAUAGCAUCCUUUCCCAUCUCAACUCAACAGACUGUAGUUUGGAUUACAGAAAAGAGUGGGUUUAAUAUAACUGACCAAGUCUUAGAAAUAAAUGAUAAAGGCACAGAGUUCGCUGGGCUGCUCUUGCUCAAAAUGCUCAAAAUGCUGUUAAGAUCAUGGGUGUAUUUGCGGCCCUCCACACAGAAGCCUGUGGUUGUACCACUGGGCAGAUUCUCUGACCCUGAGUUCUAGCUCCGUCUCCCUAGAGCAGGUGAUAGAAGCGUUUGAUCUUAGACAUUUUUCAGAUAUUUAAGUGAUGCUAUCAUGUGAAACUGAACACGGCAAAUGAAAACAAUUGUUCAUAAAAUUACUAUUUUUCCUUGACAUCUAUCAUAGCUUUUAAAGUUCAGACUGUUUCUGGGAGGAUUUGGGAUUGUUCCAGAUUUGUAAAAUUUGAUAAAUGAUUGAACAAAACUGCAUUUCCUGGUUAAUACUAAGAGAUUCUUAUAAUUGAUACCCUUGGUAUGAACUCACCUGAUGGUCACUGUGAAAUGUACAUGGGAUAGAAUAAUCUCAAAAGCCCUUCAGAAUGACCUUUUUAUCACAUGUAUGUCACAGACAACAUGUGAGUGUGGGUGCUUUGGAGUUUGCUUCUCAUACAUCAGGUCUGACACUAUAAGAAGCUAUGGUGUUUUGUUUAACACAUCUCGAGGUGAUAUGAUCACUCAGGACUACCUAGCAUCUUUAUGUAGUGCUACAGGGUGUGAAGAAACAAGUUGUUAUGACUCCUUUAUUUUGGUUGUUACAUUUAUAAUAGAAAAACUGUGGGUUUGAGGAGAUCCGCGGGGGAUCCCUAUAGGGCAGGUCUCGGAUAACAUGUUUUCAGAGUUGAAGUUCAGAGAAGGAUGCCAGGGAUCAGUGCUCCUGCUGGGUUUGUGAUAACUGCAUCACUAAGUCCUGUCUAAUUCCUCCAUCCUGAGAGCAAGAGGGUUUUUCUGGAACCUUGCAUUUGCAUUCAGAACUUGAUUCUUUCUUGAUACAUUUAAAGAUUACUCUACACAUGAGCAUGCACAGGCAUGUCUCCCACAGGUAACUUCUCAACUGCAAAUUCAACCAGUGAUAGCUGUAGAAGAUUAUGAAAUACAGCUACAAUUGUGAAGUCUGUAUUGGUUUCACGCUGAGAUUAUAUACAACUUUAUUUGAAAUUAAGGCCUGAAAUAACUUACCUAACACCUUUUCACUCAAUUUGUUAAUAAUGAUUAUCUUCUCCUAACAUAUUCCAAUUAAAAUAUGAGCGAAUAAAGUCCUAAGAAGAGGAAAUCCUCAUGAAUUAGUUAACCUAUAAAAUCUUGUCAAUAAAACACUUGUAUAUCAAAAAUGUGGAAAAGUACUGUCUUUGAACUAGCUGAAGUUAGGCAAUAGUAAUAAUAAUCUUACCAAACAAAAAAUCACCAGAUUUAAAAUCAUUUGCUGCUCGUUUUCAUCUAAAUUUUAUAGUAUACAGUGUAUAUAUUAUGUACUAAAUAAUAUUUGGGGACAUUUAAAAAAUAAUUCUUAAGUUCCAGAAUUUUACAUGGUGAUAUAAUUCCCUUAAAAUAGCUACCCUCCUGCCAUACCUACCAAAUCUCACACUCUCACACAGUUACCCCAUACAAAAUAGCUCUAACAAUAGUUGUAGAUAUUUUUGCCUCCACAUAUUCACAAAGUUUCACAUUUAAUAACUCCUCAAUUAAAAUUUUCUCUACACUGUUAAGAGAAAAAUAUAUUACUAUAACGUAGUUAAAGAAAAUUAAUCAUAAAUCUGUUGGAAUACUUAAUAUUACAUUAUUUUAACAUAAAAAACUUGCAGAAAAUGACAGAUGUUGAAAUCAGUAUUAUGAAACAUAGACCAUUACAAUUGAUUAAAGUUGCAAUAAAGACAGUAUUUCUUUCCAGAAUAGUAUAGAGAUGAUUCAAAUGUGUUUUUUAAUUUGCUCUCAGAAUUAAAUUUUGUAUAUAUACGUUUCCCUUAGGUUAUAAAUCUUUUUUAUUGGCAAGUGUUUGCACUUUGUGAUACAUUUUUGUAACAAUGCCGUAUGAUUUUCAUUGUCAGAAUGACAGAAAUUGAAGUUAAUGUGGUUUGAAAUAGACAACUCAAAUGAGUGGAAUAAGUGUUGAUAAAAUAAUCUAAUUUUUGAAAAUAUUAGCUUAUCAAUAUAAAAAACAUAAAUUUACCAUCAUUUUAUGUCAUUUUACUGAUGCAAAAAUAUUAAGUUUUUCUCCAAACUCGUUCUCACUCAUAAUGAAAUUCUAUUUGGAUCCAAACCAGGUUUUUAUUUUAUUUUUAGGAAUGAGAAUAUUUUUUCUUAGAAGACGCUUAAAAAAAUUAUACAGAAUACUUACAAGAAUUACAUGUGUGUGUAUGAAAAGUUAGUGACGAUAUUAAUAGACCUAUGAAGCUACUGUAAAAAGUCAGUGUAAAAAUGAGAUUAUACAUUAAUUGAGAAACAGAUUGAAUUAUUUCUAAGAAUUGAAUAUAAUAAACUUGUUUUUUCAAAUUAUUCUUACAGCAGAUAUGUUAUUUGGUAAAUGAGUAUUUGGUGAGAUUAUUAUUAUUAUAUAAAUGUAAAUGUCAGUCAAUUGAUAUAGUCAGUCUCUCCGUUAACAAAUACUUUUUGAGCAUAUCCUAUAGUGGAAAUUUCUUCUGAGAAUUGAGUAUACAGUGCUAGAAGAGAUAGGCAGUCUAUAUUUAUGUUGCUUCAUUCUAUUUAGAAAGCUAUAUAACGUACAAAUACACACACAAAUAAUUAAGAUAAUCCCACUGCAAGUGCUAAGAAUAAGGUCAUAGUAGCAAUGUGGUUCAGAGUACUGAGAGGCUAUCUAUGGAGGACAUUUAGGGAUGACAGCAGGCAAGACAUCUCUGAGGAGCUGGACCUUGACUUGAAACCCGAAUGAUGAGAGAGUAAUGCAUGAUUUUACAGGAAGAGGCCUCAAGGGAAAAGAAUAGCCUGUGCAGAAUUCCGUAGUAGCAAAGACGUUGUGUUUCUGUAAGACCAAUAAAAGCCAGGUGGAUUUGAACAUGGUGAAAAGGGAGAAAAUGACUGGGGGGAUCUUAGAUCAGUAACAGGCAUCAAGCCAUUCAGGAUCUGUCAGGUCAUGAUAAGGAGCUGGGAUUUUAUUCUAAGAACACUGGAAGGAAGUUAGAUCAGGGAGUGCUGAUUUACAUUUCAGAAAAAUAACUCUUGGUUGUUCUGUAGAACAUGGACAAGAAGAGGUUAACUGGGGAGGAGGUAACAGGAUAACAGGAUAGCAUGCCAUGGCCACUGUCCAGAUGGAGAGGAUGGAGGCAGAGACCAGGCUGUGGCUUUUCUUUUCUUUUCUUUUCUUUUUUUUUGAGACCUCACUUCUAAAUACAUAAAAUCUGUGGAUCCCUACUGUCUCAACAUAAAGCCCUGACCCUUUGAUUCCUGCCUGCCUUUCCAGCCUCACCUCCCUGCACUGCAGCCAGCAGGAUUUUUCAGUCUAACAAGUCAUAAAAUGCCCUUUGAGAAAGCACCCUCUGACGCAGGGCAUUCUGAAGGUAGAGGUGCAGGACUAGGAGAGGCAGUGAAUGUGAGUGUGAGUGAGACACAGACACAGUAUCUCUCCUAAGGCUUUCUCUGAAGUCAUGGUGUGUGAAUGGUCAUGAUGUUUAUUGGGAGGAAGAAUGCUUGAGGGAAUUGGGAGGAAAUUAACAGAAGGAAAAAAUCAUUAUCUCUGUUUUGUCUAAACCUAGUGCUUAUCCUAGUGAAGAUGGCAAGUGGGAGAUUGGAUAUAAGAAUCUGCCGGUAAUGAAAUAAGGCUUUGCUAUUGCUGUACAUUUGAGAGUCAGUGUGUGGAUGCUAUUUAAAGUUACAAGGCAAAUAAGGGAGCCUUAGGAGGGAGUGCACAGAUAGAGAACAGGGGUGAGGGAAGAGCCGCGGAGUGCUGCUCUAUUCAGUGAACUGAUACAGUGGGAAAAAAUACCAACACAGAAAAUGUGAUUACAUUACCAAUGACUCUGAGCCAGGUGUCAAGAAAGCUUAGAGAUAAACAUUUUAAGAAAAAGAACAUGUCAAGUGCUGUUGAAACUUAAUGUAAUGCAAGGACAGAAAAUUGACCUUCAGCUUUGGCAAGCUCUAUAGGUGCAGUCUCUGUGCAUUGGGGGCAGAGGAACUCUGACCGGUAUAGGUUGAAGAGAAAGUGUGAGAUGAGACAAUAAGGCUGGUGUGACAGGACAUUUUUGGAGAUGUUCAGUUUUGAAGGAAGAACAUCAGGGUAUAAAAGGCAGGAGGGAAUAGUACCAAAGACAUAGGUACUGAGGUUGGCCUUUGAACAGUGUCUGUUCUUUCAUCUGCACAGGUGGGGCAGCUGAGAAUAUGGGUACACGAUUUUUAAAGUGGUGAUUGGAAGAGGAAGUAGUUCUUGACUGAGCUCAGUUAUUUUAUUCCCGUGCUGAGAGUCCAGUUGGGAGGAGCUGUUGAAGAGUUGAGGAGAAAGUAUGAGAGAGCCAUCCCAGAGAGCAGAAAAGGCAAUUUACUAGAGAAAUGGAGAUGCAUUGUUGAAUAGCAUUGAGAGACUAUUUGAGAUCAGUGGUCAUAAAUUUGAAGCAAGUCCAUCCAGAAAGACUAUGAAAUGUUUCUCUAGCAGCAUUCAACUAUGACUCUUUCAGAGGGAUGGGGCAUCAGAAAUGUUGGUAUUUUGACAGCUCUAUUCACAGGUAUUUUGACAUUAGUUUAUGCUUAAGAUUACGGGUAUCUUAAUUCAGAUUCCUACCAAUAGUGUCCAAGGGUUCCCUUUUCUCCAUAUUGUCUCCAAUAUUUAUAGUUUGUCUUUUUACAACAGCCAUGCUACCAAGUAUAAGGUGAUAUCUUGUGGUGAUUUUCAUUAGCAGUUCUCUGAUGAUUAGUGAUACUGAACAUUUUUUUCAUAUACCUGUUGGCCAUUUGCACGUCUUCUAUUGAAAAAUAGCUAUGCAGGGCCGGGCACAGUGGCUCACACCUGUAAUCCUAACACUUUGGGAGGCCGAGAUCACCUGAGAUCGAGAGUUUGAGACCAGCCUGACCAACGUGGGGAAACCCCGUCUCUACUAAAAAUACAAAACUAGCUGGGCAUGGAGGUGCAUGCCUGUAAUCCCAGCUACUCGGGAGGCUGAGGCAGGAGAAUCGCUUGAACCUGGGAGGCGGAGGUUGCGGUGAGCCAAGAUCGUGCCAUUGCACUCCAGCCUGGGCAACAUAAGCAAAAACUCCAUCUCAAAAAACAAACAAAAAAAAGAAGGAAAGAAAGAAAGAAAGAGAGAGAGAAAGAAAGAAAGAAAGAAAGAAAGAAAGAAAGAAAGAAAGAAAGAAAGAAGAAAGAAGGAGAGAGAGAGAGAAAGAAAACAAAGAAAGAAAGAGAAAGAAAGAAAGAAAGAGAGAAAAAAAGAAAAGAAAAAUAUCUAUGCAGAUCCUUUGCACAUUUUUUUUCAUUUGGAUUAUUGGUUUUCUUGCUAUUGAGUUGUUUGCACUCUUUACAUAUUUUUGUUAUUAACCCCUUGUCAGAUGUAUAAAUUGAAAAUAUUUUCUCUCGUUCUAUAGAUUUUCUCCUCACUCUGUUUAUUGUUUCCUUUGCUCUACAGAAGCUUUUUAGUUUUAUCUAAUCCUAUUUGUCUCCUUUUCAUUUUGUUGCCUGUGCUUUUGGAUUCAUAACCAAAAAGUUGUUACCCAGACCAAUGUUAUGAUGUCAUGGAGUUUUUCCCUUAGUUUUCUUUCAGCAGUUUUAGAGCUUCAGGUAUUCUAUUAAAGUUAUUAAUCCAUUUUGAGUUGGUUAUUGUAUAUGUUGUAAUGAAACUAUGUGGCUUUUAACCUGCAUACCCAGAUUAAGGAAUGUUAGUUGCUAAUGUGUUUUAAUUAGAAUGCUCUUACGUGAUUACUGAGUAUAAAUGUUACUGUUAGAAUAUCUAAGCUGUUACAUUAUUGUAAAUUUGGGGUGAUUUUUCUUUGGCUAAAAAGUAAAUAGGUGAGUACACAUAUAAGAUUGGAAAUUGUGAUAAUUUAAUUCCAACAAGAAUAAGAGUUUAGGUUGGAUAUAUUUCUUCAUGCAACUAUCAAUAAAUGUGAAUGAUGGAUAGCAAAACUAUUCAUAUAUCAUAAUUAAUCUCACUACUUGAAGAGUGAUAUUUAUCCACCCACCCAUGUGCCUAGCCUUGUUUCUAUUUGUUUGCUAGAAUCAUGACAGAGAGAGAGAAAAAAUAUAACAAAUAUAUUUUUUCUUUGAUUAAUUUCUUGACAGGGGCUCGUUCUGUUGAAUGUUAGUGUCAGAGGUGAACACUGUAUUUCAUUUAAGAGUAAGAAAUACAGAAAGAAUAUUGCAAUGACUGAAUCCUGAAAAGAUAUGGGCAAGUCUUUCAGAUAUUGUUGUUUCAAAUGUAAUAAAAAUAAGCUAGAUUAAUAAUAAUAAUUUCUUAUUGUACUAAUCAAUUACUCUGUGGAAGAAACUAUGUUAAACAAUUUACAUGUAUUAAUUAAUUUAAUGUCUACAUCGGCUGAAAAAGAUAAAGUCUAUCAGUUCCCCUUUCCUUAGGAAAAGACUAGUGAUUAACGACGUUAAGUAAAUUGCUUGCAACUAAAAUUUAGAACCAAAAUGCAAACCUGGGUUCAUUUCAUUCAAGUGUUAGCACAUUUGCAGGGAUAUCUAACGUUUCAUUUAAAAAUCUAAAAAAUUUUCAUAAAACUUUGUUAUCAUGAAAGUUUGAGAAACCAUGUUUUAGACAAUAAAUACUUUGAAAAGCCAACUCAUAUUAGUGUGUUAAUACAUCCAAGAGAU
rnacentral:lncRNA from 10 species